GCAAGUCGAACGAGAAAGUGGAGCAAUCCAUGAGUACAGUGGCGUACGGGUGAGUAACACGUGACUAACCUACCCUCGAGUGGGGAAUAACUUCGGGAAACCGAGGCUAAUACCGCAUAACAUCUACGGAUCAAAUGCGCAAGCAGCUUGAGGAGGGGGUCGCGGCUGAUUAGCUAGUUGGCGGGGUAACGGCCCACCAAGGCAAUGAUCAGUAGCCGGCCUGAGAGGGCGCACGGCCACACUGGAACUGAAACACGGUCCAGACUCCUACGGGAGGCAGCAGUGGGGAAUUUUGCGCAAUGGGGGAAACCCUGACGCAGCAACGCCGCGUGGAGGAUGAAGCCCCUUGGGGUGUAAACUCCUUUCGAUCGGGACGAUUAUGACGGUACCGGAUGAAGAAGCACCGGCUAACUCUGUGCCAGCAGCCGCGGUAAUACAGAGGGUGCAAGCGUUGUUCGGAAUUAUUGGGCGUAAAGGGUGCGUANGCGGUGCGGUAAGUCUUCUGUGAAACCUCCGGGCUUAACUCGGAGCCUGCAGGGGAAACUGCCGUGCUGGAGUAUGGGAGAGGUGAGUGGAAUUCCCGGUGUAGCGGUGAAAUGCGU
rnacentral:rRNA from 1 species